AGCGAACGCUGGCGGCAGGCCUAACACAUGCGAGUCGAACGGAUCCUUCGGGAUUAGUGGCGGACGGGUGAGUAACACGUGGGAACGUGCCCUUUGGUUCGGAACAACUCAGGGAAACUUGAGCUAAUACCGGAUGUGCCCUUCGGGGGAAAGAUUUAUCGCCAUUGGAGCGGCCCGCGUCUGAUUAGCUAGUUGGUGAGGUAACGGCCCACCAAGGCGACGAUCAGUAGCUGGUCUGAGAGGAUGAUCAGCCACACUGGGACUGAGACACGGCCCAGACUCCUACGGGAGGCAGCAGUGGGGAAUCUUGCGCAAUGGGCGAAGGCCUGACGCAGCCAUGCCGCGUGAAUGAUGAAGGUCUUAGGAUUGUAAAAUUCUUUCAGCGGGGACGAUAAUGACGGUACCCGCAGAAGAAGCUCCGGCUAACUUCGUG
rnacentral:rRNA from 1 species